rnacentral:rRNA from 1 species
AGUGAACGCUGGCGGUAGGCCUAACACAUGCAAGUCGAACGGCAGCACAGUAAGAGCUUGCUCUUACGGGUGGCGAGUGGCGGACGGGUGAGGAAUACAUCGGAAUCUACUUUUUCGUGGGGGAUAACGUAGGGAAACUUACGCUAAUACCGCAUACGACCUACGGGUGAAAGCAGGGGAGCUUCGGACCUUGCGCGAUUGAAUGAGCCGAUGUCGGAUUAGCUAGUUGGCGGGGUAAAGGCCCACCAAGGCGACGAUCCGUAGCUGGUCUGAGAGGAUGAUCAGCCACACUGGAACUGAGACACGGUCCAGACUCCUACGGGAGGCAGCAGUGGGGAAUAUUGGACAAUGGGCGCAAGCCUGAUCCAGCCAUGCCGCGUGGGUGAAGAAGGCCUUCGGGUUGUAAAGCCCUUUUGUUGGGAAAGAAAAGCAGCAGGUUAAUACCCCGCUGUUCUGACGGUACCCAAAGAAUAAGCACCGGCUAACUUCGUG